rnacentral:rRNA from 1 species
UACGUAGGGGGCAAGCGUUGUCCGGAUUUAUUGGGCGUAAAGAGCGUGUAGGCGGCCAGGUAGGUCCGUUGUGAAAACUCGAGGCUCAACCUCGAGACGUCGAUGGAAACCAUCUGGCUAGAGUCCGGAAGAGGAGAGUGGAAUUCCUGGUGUAGCGGUGGAAUGCGCAGAUAUCAGGAGGAACACCAAUAGCGAAGGCAGCUCGCUGGGACGGUACUGACGCUAAGGUGCGAAAGCGUGGGGAGCGAACAGG